AAAUAUGAGGGCAAGCUGGCUGUGACAUCUGUCACUCCAUUGAUCACCAGGGUUGAUUUGGCUGAUCUGGCUGGCUAGGUGGGUGUUCCUUUUCCCCCUCACUGCUCCACACAUGUCCCUCCCAAAGCUGCACACUCAGUGGAAGAGAACAACCUUCCCUGAUAGAGGACCAUUCUGUAGUCAAGAGUAUACGUAUGAGUAGCUGUAUUCCCCUCCUAGAACCUCCGUACGAGCUCUCAAGGUCCAUUUUCAGAACUUAGGGUAGUCAAGCUUCCAUGAUUUCAGACACAUCCAAAUGAGGUGCUGCAUAUGGCAGUCUACUUAAU
rnacentral:snRNA from 1 species